rnacentral:rRNA from 1 species
UACGGAGGGUGCGAGCGUUGUCCGGAAUCACUGGGCGUAAAGGGCGCGUAGGCGGCCUGAUAAGUAGGGGGUGAAAUCCUGCGGCUUAACCGCAGGGCUGCCUUCUAAACUGUCAGGCUGGAGCACAGUAGAGGCAGGUGGAAUUCCCGGUGUAGCGGUGGAAUGCGUAGAGAUUGGGAAGAACAUCCGUGGCGAAAGCGCUCUGCUGGACUGCAACUGACAUUGAGGGACGAAAGCUAGGGGAGCGAAUGGG